CAGGGCCCAGUUUCUCAUCAAGUGGAGCACGCUCGCUUUUGUUGCCGUCAUAAAUAAGCAACGGAAGGCAGCAUUGAUUUCUCGGGCAAGCGCUCUCCGUCCGGCGGCCAAAGCGUGCGUGAAGCAGCAACGUAAACAUGUUUCACACAACGAAAAUAUUUGGAUAAACGAGUCGAAUGCUUCCGAAAUGCAGAUGAAACGGCAUAUUACAAUGUAACAAAUGGCAUUGAGCUGUAUCCAAGCUGGGAUAGGCUCCAGCACUCCAGGCGACCCUUGUGAGGAUGAGCAGCUAAGAAAAUUGAUGGAUGGAAGGAUGGAUGAUGACUUACGCCUUGGGCUGGAACGGAAAUGCGACACCGGAGAAGUUCUGCGUGGGACAGGCUGCACGUCGGUGUCAGAGAAUCCUCUGCUUUCACACUAGCUGGCAGAGUUGUGCUUUCUGCGUGCGGAGCUCAGCCAGCGACAAACCCCCGUCUCCCAAAAAACUCCGCCAGAGCCAAUCAGAGAAGAGGGAGGCUCUGCACGAGUCUCACGGGCUUCCUCCGACAACUUAACGACUGUCCGGUCAACUUCACAUCACCUCUAGCCCACCACCUUAAUUCAUCAUUUGUGUUUGCGAAAGAAGGUUAUGAGGGGAAGAAGUCACUUCAUCUGUCUGUUUGUAGGGGAAAGUGCACACUGACACACAC